UACGAAGGGGGCUAGCGUUGCUCGGAAUCACUGGGCGUAAAGCGCACGUAGGCGGCUUUUUAAGUCAGGGGUGAAAUCCUGGAGCUCAACUCCAGAACUGCCUUUGAUACUGAGAAGCUUGGAGUCCGGGAGAGGUGAGUGGAACUGCGAGUGUAGAGGUGAAAUUCGUAGAUAUUCGCAAGAACACCAGUGGCGAAGGCGGCUCACUGGCCCGGUACUGACGCUGAGACGCGAAAGCGUGGGGAGCGAA
rnacentral:rRNA from 1 species